rnacentral:lncRNA from 1 species
AAUUCCUCUAUAUAAACCCCCCGUCUUCUUCAGAAAAGGGGUUGGAAAAAUUUUGGGAUAUAUUUUUAUCACAUAAAGAUAUAGAGGAAUUUUGAGGAAGCUCUCCGAUUUUUUUUCUUACUAAUACUUUAGCUGGAAUUUCCUAGCAAGAUAUAUUCAUAUAAAGGGGGAAGAAUAAUCGAGCUACGAAAGCAUAGCAAGUUAAGAAGCAAGGGGUUGUUGUUCAAGUUGUGGAAGCUCGUCUUUGCUAGCUCGUCCGUCUCUAGUUCGCUGCCCCGAAGGAGGUGAAAUUCCCUAAUUUCAACUCACUCAUUAUUUUAUUCUGUUAUCUUUCAGCAAAUAUGAAGUUCUUUAUCGGUUUCUUCCUCCUCUUACUCGAUCAUUUUCCAUUUUUUGUGAGUUGUGUUUGAUAGUGAUGAGAUUUUUCGUUGGGUUCCGAAUAGUUUAUCCGCGUUUAAGGUAUAUAUAUGUUUGAUGACAUGGACUGCUCUUCUUCGAAUACCAUGUAGAUUGAUGAUAGAAUGAAAGAUUUAUUGAUGUUGUUCCUAGGAUUUGGAUUUGGUCUGUCAUUGUUUGAUUAAUUUUUGUAAUUUUUUGAGCAUGUUCUCGUUCUUUUGUAGACGCUUCCCCUGUGUUAUCCUUUCUUUUUAGCCAUCAUGAGUAGAAGUUGCUUGGCAUGUGAUGUUAAGUCAUCACUCUAUUUCAUUAGGUUGGAUAUCAAUCGAACGCCAGCUCUUCCACACCCUCUUUCGAAUGUUUACAGCCUUGAGAGGCUGAUUUUACUUCGUCAUGGCUGAACUAUUUGCUUUCUUUUUGUGUAUAUGCAUUUGACCUUGUGGUUAGCAUCAUCCCGUCACUUUGUUUAGAUAUAUGAAUUUGGAUGCUAAUGCCUUAGGUUGUAUGUUGUUAGCUUUGACCUUUAGCCUCUUUUUCAUUCCUUGAUUAUCCUUUGUCAUGUACUGUUUAUGCUGUUUACCAUGACAUUGCUGUCAUAUUUAUUUCUUGGACAUGAGAUGUUCAUAAGUGCAUACCCAUGUUAUUGUUCCUGCUUGAAGUUUGUUGUCGAUUGUCUUAUUCAUAAGGCAUAUGUGAAGUUAUGGAAGUAAAAGGGAGGGAGUAUUAACCCAUAUGUUGUCAUUUGUUUUCCCUCUUGACACCUUGCUGUUUGUGUGCCCAAGAUUUGUAUGAUUCGAUCUGAGUGUGUUUCCUUUUAUGUGUGGUUUGUUCAUUCGAUCGAGUAAAUAUCAUAAUCUUUAAAAUAAGAUAAAAAAUUCUUUCUUUCUUUUCUUUAGAUGCUGCCAUUCUACCUUGCCAAUGUUUUUUUUUGUGACAUCGAUUCGAGUCCACUUUGGACUCCAUUCUCACAUUCCUACGAGUUGCAAAUCCUCGAGUCAUCCAUUUUCAAAAGUCUAGAAGGCCAAAGCUGAUUUGCAGGUCGAAACAGCAUAAAUGCAGUGCUGGAAAAGUGGCUGGAAAUUAUUUUGCAGGGAUUUGAAGAAGAUGUAUACAACAAUAUACAUAUUUUAUACACAGUUAUAUACUGAUAUACAGGUCUAAAAUACAGGUGGAUCCAAAUUCGAAAUCUGGACUUGUUCAGUGAAGAUAGGUUGCUAAAGGGAACUUUCAACUUUUGAAAAGUUGAAAAACAGUCUGAUAUACAGCCUAUAUACACUGAUAUACAGAGAUAUUAUACCUUAAAUAUGUGUAAAAAAUAAAUAUGAAUUGCAGGUUAACCUAUAGAGACGCCGAUUUCAGAUAAAAUACGGAAAAAUGCAAAAGAUAUGUACAUAGGAACCCAUAUACAUUGGUAUACAUUUCUGGGCAGCGAUACAAAAUUGUUAAACAAGUUUUAAAAUGGUACAGGUACAAAUACGCAGAGAUAAUAUGGAAAAUACAGGGUGAAUAGUGAGAAACACGUAUUCAAACAAGUGCAGGCCUCAAAAAGUCUAAUACGAAUUGGAUAUAUAUAGUAUACAUCAUUUGUAUACUUUAAUUUUUUUUUUCCAGGAAAUGGGCCAGGACCCUUUAGCAGACUUUUUUUUUUUAAAAUAGGACCAAGGGUCCAAAUGUUUUUCUUUUUUGGGAAAUUUUUCAAAAUGUCAAUAUUUUAGCAUUUAAGAGGGCUCAUUAGCAACAUUUUCAAUAUUUAGUAAAAAUGUCAAAUUUUAGUUUGUUAUGUAUCUUGUUUAUGUUUUUAUUAUUUAUUUUUAUUUAAUGAAUAUAAUUAUUUAAUAACAAAAGGGAGAAAAUCAAGGGAGAGAAUAUUUCAAAAAAAGGUAAGGAUCCUUAAUUUUCUCAUCAGUUACAUUUUCAAAUAAAAUUUAAAUCUUAUUCUUUUUUUCUCUCCAGAAUUUUUACCUUUUUAAAAUUAUAUUCAUUUCACAAUAUAUUCUAUUUAUAUUUAUUAUAGUUUUUAUUAGUUUGUAUUCAUUCCAAUAGGUAUGCCGAAUUUAUCUAUAUAGUCAUUUAAGAAAUAUAUUUGUAUUUUCAUAUAUUUUUUCCUAUAUAGUUAAUUUUUCAUCAAAAUAUUGUAUGUAUUCAUUUCAAUAUGUAUUUUAUUUGUAUUUCUAUUUAUUCUAGUUUUUAUUUAGAAUUUUGUAUAUAAUAUAUAAAAUACAAAAUAUUAGUAUGAUGAAAAAGUGAAUGAAAUAUAAAUUUGAAAAGAAAUAAUUGAAUAUUUGGUGUACUCAUUCUUAAAUAAAAUACAUAACUAGUUGACAUACCUUUAGAAUAAAUACAAAUUAGAAAAAAUGUCAAAUUCAUAAACAAUGCAACAUAAUUUUUUAAUGAAUACAACUGUUAAUUGUAAAAAUACAUACUGACUAAUACAGUAUCAAAAUUCAAUAUAUACUUUCAAAUUUAUGAAUACAAAAAACAAUAAAACUAUGAAAUACAAAAAUAAAUACUAAUUGUGGUAUAUUGACAUAACUAUAAAAAAAAACAUAAUACAAAAUGAAUUAAAUAUAUGAAAUACGAUUCCAAAUCUAUGGAUACAAAAUAUAAUAAAAUAAUGAAAUACAAAAAUACAUACGUCAUGUAAAACAACAACAAAAUUCAAUAUACACUUCCAAAUCUAUGAAUACAAUAAACAUCAAAACUAUGAAAUAUACACAAUCAAACUCAUAUAAUGUGUUAUAUUGACAUAACUAACAUACACACACAAAAAAAAAAAAUAGAACACAAAAUACAAUAAAUAUAUGAAAUACAAAAAUAAAUACUAACUAUAACACAAUAAAAAUUCCAUAUACACUUCCUAACGCAUUGUAACAUGAAUUUUUUUUAAUCUUAAAAAUUGCUAAACAAAUUAAACUAACAUGCAAGACACAGAACAUUUAAAAAAAAACUCUUCUCCAACAAAUUGGUCUUCUUCAACUUCAUGGUUAUGGAUUUGUGUGGGAUUUUGCACAUCGAUGGAUUCAGGCAUUUUUCUCUGUCGUAUAUCCUCCUUAGAAGCGGAACCUACAUUGUUGUUUAAUUCUUGAGUGAAAAAAAAAUUAAAUGAUGGAAUAUCGAAAGAACUUUGAUUAUUUUGUCUAAUAACUCUAGUAACUCUCUUGAAAAUGUCAAUUGAAGAGAGAAUUAUGUAGUCUCAAACCCUAAAAAAUAUUUUAAGGACAACAACAAAAUUAAAGAAAAAAACACUAAAAUCAGUAAGUAAAUAAAUAAGGAAUCUGAAAAACAUAAUAUCCAAAUCAACUUUAAUCUUCAAAUCAAAUCUUGCAACGAAAUUGAAUGAGAAUAGUAGAAAAUAUUAAUUUAUUGAAUCGAAAAUCUGUGGAAUUGAUUUGGAAGAAUGUUAGAGAGAGAAAUUAAAAAGAAGAAUAAGAAAAGAGAGAAAAAUCUGGAAAUUUGAUUCGGAAGAAAGUAAGAGAGAUAAAUUGAUAAACUUAAGAAAAGAAAGAAAAAAAUUAAAAUGACAUUAAUAUUUAUCCAAUUAAAUAAAUAUAGGAAAAUGUGUAAUCUAUGAGAGAGAAAGAAAAGCUGUAAAUAAUGAGAGACAAAAUAUUAAUAAUAUCAUAAUAAUUAUUUAUUUUUAAAAUAAUGAUAUUUUUGACAUGUUUACUAAUAUUAUUAAAAUAUGGAUAUUAUCACUAAAUAAAUUGAUUUUUUUGACUAGUUAGCUAAAUUUUCCUUCUUUUUUUUUGCAGGAUUUUUAUUGGUAAAAGGGCC